rnacentral:rRNA from 1 species
AAUAGAUACCCGGUAGUCCACGCCGUAAACGAUGAGUGCUAAGUGUUAGGGGUUUCCGCCCCUUAGUGCUGCAGCUAACGCAUUAAGCACUCCGCCUGGGGAGUACGGCCGCAAGGCUGAAACUCAAAGGAAUUGACGGGGGCCCGCACAAGCGGUGGAGCAUGUGGUUUAAUUCGAAGCAACGCGAAGAACCUUACCAGGUCUUGACAUCUCCUGACCGCCCUGGAGACAGGGUCUUCCCUUCGGGGACAGGAUGACAGGUGGUGCAUGGUUGUCGUCAGCUCGUGUCGUGAGAUGUUGGGUUAAGUCCCGCAACGAGCGCAACCCUUGUCCUUAGUUGCCAGCAUUCAGUUGGGCACUCUAAGGAGACUGCCGGCUAAAAGUCGGAGGAAGGUGGGGAUGACGUCAAAUCAUCAUGCCCCUUAUGACCUGGGCUACACACGUGCUACAAUGGGCGGUACAGAGGGUCGCGAACCCGCGAGGGGGAGCCAAUCCCAAAAAGCCGCUCUCAGUUCGGAUUGCAGG